UGUCGUGCGGUGACUCAGAACUGAGUCAGAGCGUCGUGUCCCGCCUACACCGCGGUGGCGGCCAAUGGCGCUUGUGCGGAAGCGGGCACAGUGGCGAACAGUCACGCAGCCCUCCACAGUCCCUCUGUGUGCGGUUUAAAAGGACGCCAGCUCCGGGUCCAUGUACGGAAUUCCUUCCCGUUGACCAUUAAAGGCAGAGUGCACACCUUGCAGACACAAAGACGUGUCUGCUGGAGUCAGGCUCCAUGACAGUUUUGGGCUGAUAUCAGACAGAGUUGUCAACUGAGAUCUAAACUGGGCAAUUUGGUAGAGUGGGCGAAUUUGAACACCUCAACCCAGACUAUGACAUUUUUGUUUGUUAGGAUGGUCGCUGUGUCAGAUUAGGCAAUCACAGAGUCAUACAAUGACGUGUCUGAGAGACGUGACAGAGUACAUGUUGGUUCCAGACCAGUCAGUAAAUGUGAAUCUUGUACUGGGGUGGCAGGAAAUCACUGCCACAUCGCAACAGCCUGCCAUCUUUCACGGCCUGCACAAUGUCACCGGGAACGAGGCGACAGGGACCGACUUCUGGGAACAAGAAUGAAAACAAACAACGGUGCAAAGAGGUGUGUGGAGUGCUGGCUGUCGUGUGUUCGUGAAAGACUAAAAAUAGAUAAAACAACUGUGACCUCUUCAGUUCCACCUAGCAGCACCAACCAACUCCAAUUGGUCAGCAUCAUGGAAAAUGCACAGUUUGUCAUACUAGACGAGUCUUUAUGUCAGGACAUCGUGCCAGCUGUCACUUGGCAAAUGAUGUGUUAGAGAUUUCAUGUUUGGGCAACAUUAAAAUGCAUGUUAUAAUGCAUAAA